CCUACGGGUGGCAGCAGUGAGGAAUAUUGGUCAAUGGACGAGAGUCUGAACCAGCCAAGUCGCGUGAAGGAUGACUGCCCUAUGGGUUGUAAACUUCUUUUAUAUGGGAAUAAAAUGUUCCACGUGUGGGAUUUUGUAUGUACCAUAUGAAUAAGGAUCGGCUAACUCCGUGCCAGCAGCCGCGGUAAUACGGAGGAUCCGAGCGUUGUCCGGAUUUAUUGGGUUUAAAGGGAGCGUAGGUGGAUUGUUAAGUCAGUUGUGAAAGUUUGCGGCUCAACCGUAGAAUUGCAGUUGAAACUGGCAGUCUUGAGUACAGUAGAGGUGGGCGGAAUUCGUGGUGUAGCGGUGAAAUGCUUAGAUAUCACGAAGAACUCCGAUUGCGAAGGCAGUUCACUGGACUGCAACUGACACUGAGGCUCGAAAGUGUGGGUAUCAAACAGGAUUAGAUACCCGAGUAGUC
rnacentral:rRNA from 1 species